rnacentral:RNase_P_RNA from 4 species
GUUCUUUGCCGGAUAGUCGCCCCGUUAGAUAGAUGCUACGUAUGCAUCUAACAGGGAGGAAAGUCCGAGCACCGGCUUUCGCAGCAACCAGCUGCCAGCAACCAGCUUAUGGCUGGAAGCUACGUAAGUCAGAGGCAGUGGCUAACAGCCACCCGCUUUCGCCAAUGCUUCGGCGGGCAAGCGCUCUCCGAAAGAUUGGUAAGGCGCGAGAUAGUGUCACAGAGACAAUACCGCGGACGUCAUCAUUUUUGGUCUAAAACCAGAAACGUUGAUAGCGCAAGGGUGAAAAGAGGUGAGGCAAAAGCUCACAGCGUGCGUUGGCGACAGCGCAUGGUGAAAAACACUUGCCCGGUGCAAGUUCCGCCACGGCGGGACGCUAGAGCCAAGAGAGUAAUCCUUGGCCCAGACAGAUGACUAUUUAAACAGAACUCGGCUUAUGAGCAAAGAAUCCAC